GCAGUCAACUUAUUGAAUUCUAAGACAACUAACGACAGCAAAUGAGCCUCUAUAUAGAUAAAUUGCAGGAUUCUAGAGCAACAUAAGCACAAAGCAUAAGUCAAAAGGCAAUGACAUAUCUUGAGGUAUUAAGAUGAUAAAAGCUAGUAACACGACUACCUCAAUAUGCAAUCUUUGCGCCUUUCUUGCUUCAUGUAUGCACAGAAUCAUUAUAUAGUACAAAAAGUGUUAUUGCAUUCUUCAUGAAUGAUGCCUCGGGUUCAUUUGUCGAUUCUCAAGUGUCAUAGAACCAAAACAGCACCAGAAAACACAGAGCUCUGCCAUACCUCAAGCCCUUCAGCUUCUUCCCUGCUAACAAAAAGCCGUUCGCCACCCCCUUCGAUUUUACUGAUUAUCCCUCUCUCCGAAUCCUGCACUUUAUCAAUGUAGUUCCUCCUGAACGAUUCUUCACCAAUCUCCCUAUCACUUUCACCAUUCUGUGCAACUCGAGACCACACUUCAAGUCCACCAUCUCUCCCAACAAAAACCUGUUUCUUAUAACAAUGCACCACACUAUUACUAAUCCCUCCACUAGUAUUCCUCAAACUCGGAUUCGUCUCUCGUAAAUACACCCACGGAUCAUCCCCCAACUUCCUCAAAUCCGCCAUCGCCAGGUCACCAGACUUCGAACAUAUCUUACACAUAGUCAGUUCAUCCACAUCAAAACUAACAUCAGCAAACGAAUCUCCAAACCUACUACUCCGCCCCGAACCUGGCUCGUUCGUCUCCCAAACCACAUGCGCUGUUCUCGGAUCCCAUAGACGAAUGUAACCAGAGAAACCGAACGCUCCAGACGUUAUUGCGGUUGCAGCUAGAACUCCAAGCUCCUUCACGUAAGUUAGGGUUCCAGGAACGGUCGAUUUCGAUGAAUUUCCGGACUGUCUACCGAUUUCUGACGUCACCUGGAGCGUUGACUUAUCAAUCGCGAGUACACAAUUCUCCUUGUGGUGCGAAUCGAAAGCGGAAAACACGAGAUCCGGUGAGUCGGUUACUGCGGUUACUCGAGCUUUAUAGAUCCGAGGAUCUGUACGGUCGAUCCACUCGACGGAGCCGACGCGACGGCCGUUAGCGAAGUUAUAGAAAUGAACACCGGAAGCAACAUCCGAAGCAACGGCGGUUAUCGGAGUUGACGUCACUUGCUUAAUAGAAGUAAUAGAGUCAAGGUGAGUCCGUACAGUACCUGCGUGCGUUAGAUUCCAAUCGUAAACAGAGAUCUGGCCGCCGUGAGCUAUCCAAACCGAUCCGUCGUCAAUCGCCGUGAAAGCGGUUACAAAACCGUCAGAUGCAGGUCGAAUUGUGGAGACGAUAGCAGCGUCGAUGCCGGAGAGUGGAUUCGGAAGCAUGGCAGACUUGAGGUGAGAUUCGAUGCCGUAGUAUGAGGCUUCAUCGGAGAGUUCUUGAUCGGUGAAGCGGCG
rnacentral:lncRNA from 1 species